CAGCCGCCGCGGGAAUACAGAGGGUGCGAGCGUUAAUCGGAUUUACUGGGCGUAAAGCGUGCGUAGGCGGCUUCUUAAGUCGGAUGUGAAAUCCCUGAGCUUAACUUAGGAAUUGCAUUCGAUACUGGGAAGCUAGAGUAUGGGAGAGGAUGGUAGAAUUCCAGGUGUAGCGGUGAAAUGCGUAGAGAUCUGGAGGAAUACCGAUGGCGAAGGCAGCCAUCUGGCCUAAUACUGACGCUGAGGCGCGAAAGCGUGGGGAGCAAACAGGAUUAGAGACCCCGGUAGUCCCUGUCUCUUAUAA
rnacentral:rRNA from 1 species